rnacentral:pre_miRNA from 1 species
CUUGGGGUGGGGGGUCCCUCCACCCAGAUUGCGAGAGGAUGCAGUCCAGGCCAAGGGACCUCACCAGUGCAGG